rnacentral:lncRNA from 1 species
GAAAAGUGGGUCUGGACACAAGGUUAAAAUACUGGAAAAGAUCAUUUGGACACACAACCCAAGUCUUGCAGGCAAAAGUAAGGUGGUGGGAAAAGCAGCAGGUCGGCCUGCGAUAAAAACCUAGGGGACAGGAGUUCCCAUCAUGGCUCAGCGGUUAGCGAACCUGACUAGCAUCUAUGAGGCUGCGGGUUCAAUCCCUGGCCUGGCUCAGUGGGCUAAGGAUCCAGCGUUGCUGUGAGCUGUGGUGUAGGACAGAAAACCAUGGAAAAACUGCAGCAAGGAUAGGGAAGUGACAGGGACAUUUGGCAAAGGAGCAAGGUAAAAGGCAGCCCAAAGAGAGCGAACAGAUGUAGAGGCAGAGCCACAGACUGAAAGCUGGCAGGCUGAGUGUGCUCGGGGCAUGAGACAGGUCUCAACUCUCCUUGUUGUGAGUGAUCUUAGAGGGAACAGCAGUGAAGGCCCAUUCCGGCUUCCUUGGGAAAAUCCAGUAAACCAAGAGGUGGGGUUCCCUGAGCUUCCCCAGGCCCUCUCCCUGACUACUCAACGCAGGAUCAUUCUGGGGGAGAUCCCAGCAUGGACAACCCGGAGUGCUGAGGACACAGGACAAUGUCAAAUAAGACAAGGGUACACGAAAGAACUCUGAAAACCAUAAAGCACCUUAUAAAAAUGUGAAUCUCUCAGACAAAAAAAAAAAAAAAGACAAAGACCAGAGUCACAAUCUGGAGUGAAGAAUAUUUGUCAAGUACAGAUAUAUAUAUACAUCCCAAAUCAAGAUGCCCCUAACUAGACAUUCUAGUAACUUGAGAAGACAUAUCGGUUGGUAUGUUAACUUUCCUGUCCAACACUUUUCGGCACUGAAAAACUCUACCUAAGGCAUAAUAGGGAGCUCCUGGUAAACUAUCCUACUGAUCUAUGAAAAUGGACAUCUGAAUCUAAUGUAUUUCCAAGGAGGUUUCUGACACAAUGCAGAUCUUAACUAAUUAGGUGAAUUCCAUUCAAUGCAAUCACUCAUUGAAUGACUUCCAAGUGCACCACCACCAGCCACCAU